rnacentral:rRNA from 1 species
UACAGAGGGGGCAAGCGUUAUUCGGAAUUAUUGGGCGUAAAGGGCGCGUAGGCGGCUUGGCAAGUGGAUGGUGAAAAUCCCUCGGCUUAACCGAGGAACUGCCGUCCAAACUGCUUCGCUUGAGACCGGGAGAGGUGAGUGGAAUUCCCAGUGUAGCGGUGAAAUGCGUAGAUAUUGGGAGGAACACCAGUGGCGAAGGCGGCUCACUGGACCGGUACUGACGCUGAGGCGCGAAAGCGUGGGGAGCAAACGGG